AUUGAACGCUGGCGGCAGGCCUAACACAUGCAAGUCGAGCGGAUGAAGAGAGCUUGCUCUCUGAUUUAGCGGCGGACGGGUGAGUAAUGCCUAGGAAUCUGCCUGGUAGUGGGGGAUAACGUCCGGAAACGGGCGCUAAUACCGCAUACGUCCUACGGGAGAAAGCAGGGGACCUUCGGGCCUUGCGCUAUCAGAUGAGCCUAGGUCGGAUUAGCUAGUUGGUGAGGUAAUGGCUCACCAAGGCUACGAUCCGUAACUGGUCUGAGAGGAUGAUCAGUCACACUGGAACUGAGACACGGUCCAGACUCCUACGGGAGGCAGCAGUGGGGAAUAUUGGACAAUGGGCGAAAGCCUGAUCCAGCCAUGCCGCGUGUGUGAAGAAGGUCUUCGGAUUGUAAAGCACUUUAAGUUGGGAGGAAGGGCAGUAAGUUAAUACCUUGCUGUUUUGACGUUACCGACAGAAUAAGCCCCGGCUAACUUCGUGCCAGCAGCCGCAGUAAGAC
rnacentral:rRNA from 1 species